AAGAUAAAUUAUUUUUGGACCUUCUAAGUCGUAAACAGCUUUUAAAUAAGCUUUAUCUUU
rnacentral:tRNA from 1 species